UGCCAGACAGAUAGAAGCGGCUCCCAUGCGUUUAGGUGGAAAGGGGAGUCGAGGGGGAGAUCACGGCCUUGCGGGAGGGAUUGGUUGAGCAUAUAAGGCAUAGAAUCCCGAGAAACCAGGGAUUGGGGCAGGGUCAGCGUCGGGUUCGUGUCCGGCUCAGACACGGCUCAGGGUAGAAGAAGGGGAAAGGUACUGACCGGUGGGGCCGGGUUGGCAGAGAAGGAGAAGGAAGGAGAUGCUUUGCUGGGCUGCUGCGCGCUUGGGCCGUCCUGAGGCGAACUGGGCCGAAGACGAGAAGGGCAGGGCAGGCCGAGAGAGGAGGGGAGAGCGCUGGGCCACACAGAAGGGGAAGAGCUGGGCUCGAGAGUAGCCAAGGAUCAGGUUCUUUUUUUCUCUUUUGUUUUUCUUUUAUUCAAAAGCCAUUUCAAGUCCCUUUUUAAAAUCCGUUUUGAAAUACUUUUGAACUUUACUCAAAGUCACAC
rnacentral:lncRNA from 1 species